UGGGUUGGGAUCAUGAUGGCUGUGUUGGGGUCAUGGGUUGGUGCUCCUGGGGUCAUCAGGGUUUGGGUUCAUUGGGGCUGUGGUCAUCAGAAUUGGGUUGGGGUCAGUGGGUUUGGGGCAUUAGGUUUGGGGUUUGGGCCACUAGAGUUGAUUUAGGGCCAAUAGGGUUGGAGUUUGGGCCACUAGGUUUGGGAUUAGGGCCACUAGGGUUGGAGUUUGGUUACUAGUGUUGGAUUAGGGACAUGAUCUUCGGGGUUUGGAUCAUUAGGGUUGGGGUUUGGGCCAUUAGGGUUGGAGUUUGGUUACUAGUGUUGGAUUAGGGACAUUAUCUUCGGGGUUUGGAUCAUUAGGGUUGGGGUUUGGGCCAUUAGGGUUGGGGUUAGGGCCAUUAGGGUUGGAGUUAGGGCCACGAGGAUUGGCUUAGGAUCACUAGGGUUGGGGUUUGGGCCACCAGAGUUGUGUCAGGGUCAUUAGGAUUGGGGUUUGGUCCACUAGGCUUGGGGUUAGGGCCAUUAGGGUUGGGGUUAGGGCCGCUAGGGUUGGCUUAGGGUCACUAGGGUUGGGGUUUGGGAAACUAGGGUUGUGUAACAGCCAGCAGGGUUGGGGUUUGGGCCACCAUAAACGAGGUGUGGGCCACCAGUGUUGUGUCAGGGUCAUUAGGAUUGGGAUUUGGGCUGCUAGGGUUGG